rnacentral:rRNA from 1 species
UAGGGUUCGAUUCCGGAGAGGGAGCCUGAGAAACGGCUACCACAUCUAAGGAAGGCAGCAGGCGCGCAAAUUACCCAAUCCUAAUACAGGGAGGUAGUGACAAGAAAUAACAAUACAGGACUUUUUGGUUUUGUAAUUGGAAUGAGUUAAGUAUAAACCCCUUUACAAGUAUCAAUUGGAGGGCAAGUCUGGUGCCAGCAGCCGCGGUAAUUCCAGCUCCAAUAGCGUAUAUUAAAGUUGUUGCAGUUAAAAAGCUCGUAGUUGGAUUUCUGUUAAUAAUUUAUAUAAAAUAUUUUGAAUAUUUAUAUAACAUUAACAUAAUUCAUAUUACUAUAUUUUUUAGUAUAUGAAAUUUUACUUUGAGAAAAUUAGAGUGCUUAAAGCAGGCAUAUGCCUUGAAUACUCCAGCAUGGAAUAAUAUUAAAGAUUUUUAUCUUUCUUAUUGGUUCUAAGAUAAGAAUAAUGAUUAAUA